UGACUUCCACUCGUACUUGAGAUGCGCCGGGACCGAGGAAACCGCGGGCUGCGGGAGACGCCGCGCUGCCUCCAGAGCUGGGCUCCAGGCGCCUUCCCGUUCUUCCGGCCAGGUGCCCUGCCCUAGCCCUUCCUGUCUCGCAUACGUCCUGUCCCGAAGCGCCUGGCCCCAGGAUGUAUCAUAGGAUUGACGUGUUGGCAUUCAGUCUAUAUAGGGUGGUGUUUUUUUCUCCUUUGCCUUAAAACUUUUUUCGAAAAAGUAAUACGCAUUCGUCGCAUGAUGAUUGGAAAAAAUAAAAAGGAACGUAAGAGCCAGCCAGAUCCAGGUCUUCCUCCCUGAGCUGCCAGGCUCAGCAGCCUCCAGGGAAGGCCAAAUGCCCCCACAGUGGUGCUGGCCAGAGAAACCACUGGGACCACCCAGGACUUGCUGCGGGACCUACAUCACACCCAGACCCCAGGUGUGCCAAGCUAGGAAGUGAAGGCUGUAGCUCCCCAGCUGCUGCAGUGUGAGCUGAUGCACAGAACAGCAGUUUCAAGAUUGUGAGCUACAGCCCUUUAGUGGCCUUGAAAUCAACUUACUGAAACAAAACCAAAAUCUUUUUAGAUGAAGUGAAAUAGACUAGAAAAUAUCAGAAUGAACAGUAUGCUCUAAGGGUCAUGAAAUGCCAAGCUAUUUUCGUGUUCUUCUCUAUAAUUGUUUGCAUCUUCCAAGUUACCUACCAUUGAAGAUCUAAAGAAAACACUAAUUUUCAGAAUAAAUUAACUAAGUCCCUCCUCCAACCACCUGUACAAGUGCAUAGUCAUUCUUCCCUGAAAUAUGGCAGGAAGGACCCACUGGCUGAUGACUUCAGGCUCUGGAAAGACUGACAAGGGUUCUUUGCCCUGAAGUUACCUGCAGGAAUCACAGACCUGUAAUUGGGACAGCCUGACAUUAUAGAGAAGAGUUCCAGACUAGCUUGGGAAGAAAGGUGAAAUGCAGGUCCACAGAACUUGAUUCUCAACACUGAUGGCCUCUUUGUACAGAUUGCAUCCUCAAGUCAAAGCCAAAAGAGCAUGCGGACCACACAUUAUAGGGUCGUGACCUCCUCAAAGGCCACAUUCCUGAAAACUUAGACCCUGUCCUAGAAAUGCUGUGAGAUACCAGGCCAGGGUGCCCAGGGCAAAGUCUUUGGAGGUCAACGGUGCAGAUGGAAUUCCUUCUGCCUCCUUCAGCCAACUUAGCCAUGAAGCUUGAGAGGCUAGUCUCCAUGUAUGUGGCAAGCACUCAAGUGACUGGGAAGCAUCUGUCUCAGAAUUAGAGCAGGAGGGAAACUUAGCUCACCUCCUCUUUUGACAGAUGGGUAAACUGAGCCCAAGUGAUCUUCAGUGGCUCUUGAGAAUGGCCCAGCUGGUGCUAGAAGCAGUAGGAAUCUCAGGGCUUAACUCUCCAGCUCCCCAGCCAUCAUUUUCUCCAAAACUCUAUGGCAUCUGCGUACACAUUCCUGACUUCCCCAUGCUUCACUCAGCCUCCCGCAUCAUGACCUGCACUAGCUGAAUAGUUUCCAGAACUGUCUCUCAGCAGCAAGUGAUUAAUGCAUACCUAUGGAAUGACCUGCAAACAUGACUUGUGGAAUGAAUGAGUGAGUCGUCUCCGUGUAGUCACCUGGAGCCCUUAUAUGGGUGCUAGAAGAUGGCAGAUGUUAUAGAAAGAUACUCGCAGGCCCUCGGACCACAGCUUCUUUGGAACAGCAGAGAUGGGCAGACCUCACCUGCUCACCUCUCCCCAUUGCUAUGCCCCUGCCCCUGCCCUACCUGUGCUUCUUGUAUGGCUUUAGUGACUUCUUUCCCAUGUUCAUUUAUUCAGCUUUAUCUACAUAUAAAUACUGGGAGGGACGAGAAGACAUAAUGUGACUGAUCUCUCGGCAACAAGGGCAAGCAGGGAGAUGCUGAGGUUCUGGGAAGAUCUCAUAUCUCUGAGGGUGCUGGGCCAAGACGAAGACCAUGCUUUGCCCUGGAAAAUUCCAGUGGCUUGGGAAGCUAAAGGAGGGACUCAUAGUUCAGUGCAGCGACUAGAGGAAUGCUGUGUAGCUCUCUAUAAGAAGGAUCCCUACUAAAUAAGCACCCUGGGUCAGACAGCGAUGCUUCUGCUUACAGCCCCAGGAGUUGUAAUUGCUGUUGUUGUUGUUUAGAACUUGAUAUUUCCCCAAGAAAAGUAUGGAAAUGGUGACUAUAGCAAAAUCAGAAAUAUGUUCAUCUUUCUUACA